AGCGCGCCGGGUGGGCCUCCGGGCUUUCACAUACCCCCGUGUGACCUCGGUCACGUUAAAUGGAGCGAGGGGUCAUCCCCCGCCCCGCGGUUGAGACGAUCGAGUCGGGUCUCGGCCGCGUAUGCCCCCACCGAACAUGCAUAAACACAUGGGGCAGGCCCUCGGCCGGACGUAUAUCGAUAACUCACAAAUACACUCAGUUUAUUACAACUGGUAGCGUUGGAUCCCUCGGCAUGGCUAUCGAUGAAGAGCGCGGCCAGCUGCGAAAUGUGAUGUGAAUUGCAACUCAAAGCGGUUAUCGUGAAUCAUUGACUACUUGAACGCAUUGCACCGCCCUUUUGGGAGUGGUACGCCCGAUUGAGUGUCAUAAUCUCCUUCAGGCCCCAUGGUCUCGACCGUUCGCUCGGUGACCGCACGUCCGUGGCAAGCCGUCUGUNUCUGCACAGGUGACGGAAGCGGGCGCGUGGGGGAUCGUGGGGCGCUGGNUCCGAGGCUGCACGGCCGUCAGGUCGCGUGCCUUCAGAUGCAUUAGUGGUCGAUCGGCGUCGCAAGUUUGACUCCACGUGAUGAACUCUUGUUCGUGGAGGAGCGCCCCGCGCGCUUGCACGUCCGGUNUCCGCUGCCAACCCGCCCUCGGGCAGAACGUCGCCUCGCGCGAUGGACCUUGACAUUGGCCUCAGUCGGGUGGGAUUACCCGCUUGAUUU
rnacentral:rRNA from 1 species